rnacentral:rRNA from 1 species
CCAAGACAGCGAUAGGUAGGGGUCCUGAGAGGGAGAUCCCCCACACUGGUACUGAGACACGGACCAGACUCCUACGGGAGGCAGCAGUGAGGAAUAUUGGGCAAUGGAGGAGACUCUGACCCAGCCAUGCCGCGUGCAGGAAGACUGCCCUAUGGGUUGUAAACUGCUUUUAUACAGGAAGAAACCGUGGUAUGUAUACCACCUUGACGGUACUGUAAGAAUAAGGACCGGCUAACUCCGUGCCAGCAGCCGCGGUAAUACGGAGGGUCCAAGCGUUAUCCGGAAUCAUUGGGUUUAAAGGGUCCGCAGGCGGUCAAUUAAGUCAGAGGUGAAAUACCAUAGCUCAACUAUGGAACUGCCUUUGAUACUGGUUGACUUGAGUCAUAUGGAAGUAGAUAGAAUGUGUAGUGUAGCGGUGAAAUGCAUAGAUAUUACACAGAAUACCGAUUGCGAAGGCAGUCUACUACGUAUGUACUGACGCUCUACAAACCAUAUCACAGUUCGGAUCGGAGUCUGCAACUCGACUCCGUGAA